rnacentral:rRNA from 1 species
CCUACGGGUGGCAGCAGUGAGGAAUAUUGGUCAAUGGACGAGAGUCUGAACCAGCCAAGUAGCGUGAAGGAUGACUGCCCUAUGGGUUGUAAACUUCUUUUAUAUGGGAAUAAAACAGGGUAUGCAUACCCUCUUGUAUGUACCAUAUGAAUAAGGAUCGGCUAACUCCGUGACAGCAGCCGCGGUAAUACGGAGGAUCCGAGCGUUAUCCGGAUUUAUUGGGUUUAAAGGGAGCGUAGGUGGAUUGUUAAGUCAGUUGUGAAAGUUUGCGGCUCAACCGUAAAAUUGCAGUUGACACUGGCAGUCGUGAGUACAGUAGAGGUGGGCGGAAUUCGUGGUGUAGCGGUGAAAUGCUUAGAUAUCACGAAGAACUCCGAUUGCGAAGGCAGCUCACUGGACUGCAACUGACACUGAUGCUCGAAAGUGUGGGUAUCAAACAGGAUUAGAUACCCCGGUAGUC